rnacentral:lncRNA from 1 species
AUGACACCUGUGAACAAAAAAGAAAAGAGUGUAUUUGGUUUUGAGGAAACUUUGAAAUUUAUGAAAUAUAGAGAGUUGCUACGAAAAUACAUGGGUACGUUUUAUUAUUACAGCUCAUUUAAAUGUGCCACUUACAUUAUUAUAUAUGUAUUAAUUGUUAAAAUGAUCACUCAAAUUUCCAAAAAUUUAAAAUCGCCUGAUUCUAUAAAUGAAAAUACAAAUGAAUCUAAUAAUAUUUUAAAUAUUCAGAAAAAUAAUAAUUUGAUUUUAAAUAUAUAUGACAUAGAUGGUAUAAUUCAAAUUUUAUGUUGUACCGUUUUGUUUAUUUGUAUUAUUGUAUUAUAUAAAUUAGGUAUACCAUCUAAUUAUUUGUUAGCUGGGCGGUUAACUAUUUUAUUUAUGGUUUUGUAUUUUUUACAAAUACCUAUAGUUAUAUAUCUUAAUUUUAGAUAUCUGAAAACUUAUGAAAGAGGUGACACAUCAACUGAUGGUAGUGGUAAAAGUGGAGGUGGUAGUGGUGGUAGUAUUAGUAGUAGUAUACGUGAUAGUGGUGGGAGUGCAAUGGAUACUAUUAAUAAACUUCUUGAAAAAAAAGAUUAUUUUAAUUUACAAUUAUUACGUGUUAACAAUACUCUAUACAUGGAUACAUUCAAUUUAUUAGUUUAUACAGUAUUAAUUAUGUUAAUUUCGAGUUAUGCUAUUUAUCAUAAAUUAAUAUACCCACACUUGUUAAAAUUUUAUUUAGAUCGUUUUUUUUUGAGUUCCUACACAAUCGUUAAAAAAGAAAUGAUUAAUUUUAGAGUACCAAAUAAUAUUGACGCUUAUCAUCUAAAUAAAAUGAAUAGUUAUUUAUUUAACUCGUUAUACAAAAAACAAGAACAUCCUUCAAAAAAUUUAGAGAGUAGUACAAGAAGUUCCAUUGGAUAUAAUGUUGUGAUUAAAAAGGAAAAAACAACUUUACUUAAUAAAAUAUGUAAAAAAAUUAUGCCUUCAUGUAUUUUUAGAAAAAAAAAAAAUCCCAAUUUAAAUUUCUUUAUCAUAUUUUAUAUAGGAGAGCUGGAUAAUAAAGGUAGACCUCAUGGUUUUGGUUACUGGCGUGGCAUGAGUAAUGAAGGCGAGGUUUUAAUUGGUUAUUGGUUUCGUGGCAUACCAAUUGGGCCUUUCAAAUGUCGGGAUUUUAAAACGGGUUCAGGAUUUAUGUGUAUAAAAAUAGGUUACGGUCGAACUAAUUGCGAGCUUAACGAUUUGGAUAUUGGCCUGGCGGAUACCGAAUGUUGUGUGAGUGGCGCGUUCUAUAGAACAUUUCCAAGGGUAGUAUUCUAUAACCUAAACUUAACCAACACUCAUACAAAUCAUAAAAAAAAUAAGGAAAGUCAUGGAAACAUGCAAAAAAAAGAAUGUCGAGAAUAUUUAAUUGUUAACAAG